AUCAUCACUGUGUGUAUGUGUACAACAACAGUCUAGGUGGCUAAGGUAUCGUCACAGGUUUAUACUCUAACUUGAACGAGGACGGUUAACUGACGUUAAAUAGGCAUACACCGACCAAUGAGUAAGGACCGCGUCGAUCAUUGUCAUGCUGUUCUAUCAACAGAAACUCGGCUGAAGGCUCAACUACAGCCAGUCGGCUCUGAGAAGACAGGCAGUAAACUGACAGAGGACUUUCGUGUACACGCUAUCAAGGACUAAAAUGCAAGGUACAGUUCGGAUUGUACUGGUGGGUAAAACUGGAAGCGGCAAAAGUGCAACUGGGAAUACCAUACUUGGAAGACCAGCGUUUGAAUCCGCUGCGAGGGCUAUCAGUGUGACCAGAAACUUUCAAAAAGAAAGACGUGUUCGUUACGACAAGGUCAUAGAGGUUUUGGACACACCACACAUAUACGGGAGAGGACAAACUGUUUAUGUGGAUGAAAACCUGAGUUAUGCUCCUGAUGUCAUACUCCUUGUAACACAAGUUGGACAAACCGAUGAAACAACUGCGGAUAUGGUAACUGAUAUGAUCAAGGAGUUUGGGGUCGAUAUUGAGAACCAUUUGGUCUUUGUAUUUACCAGAUCAAACGAAAUGUCCGCAUACGGUAUGUCACAUGAUCAAUUCAUUCAAAAGUUGCCAACGUCCAUGAGAAACACGGCAAGAAAAUGUCCGUGUGUGUUUCUGGACAAUGAGUCUUCAAACUCAGAAAAAGAGGACAAGGUUCAAGAACUUCUGUCUGCAAUAGAAGGUAUGACACGGAGAAAUCGUCCAGAACAUUUUCUUUUCAAACGGCGCUACUAUCUUCGACCACGAGUUUAAAUACAACAACUUAAGGAAUAUACAGAUCUGAACAAAGCUGGAUAAUAAUACAAUGACUAAUCACUAUUGAAACUACUCCAUGAAAAGUGUUCACAUAUCCAUAAUUUGAAAUUGGACCUUCACCUUAUCCUGAUAACAAGGAGAAUAUACAUAAUGGUGAUCAGUUUGACUAUUGACUACUGACAAUUCCGACCUCUCUUCCGAUAUUGGCGAUAUAAAUGGAUUCGACUCACACAUUAGAAAAAUGUGUCCUAGAAAAAUCACAUAAUGUGAUCGUUUCUGUGUGCUUUUAUCAUGUGCAGUGUCAAACAUAAGGUUUCAUUUUAAAUGCAUUAUAUAUUUGUGUGCUG